UCACCAGCCCUGUGUUCCCUAG
rnacentral:miRNA from 4 species